CGCGUGUACUGGUCCGGCCGGGCCUUUCCCUCUGUGGAACCCCAUGCCCUUCACUGGGUGUGGCGGGGAAACAGGACUUUUACUGUGAAAAAAUUAGAGUGCUCCAGGCAGGCCUAUGCUCGAAUACAUUAGCAUGGAAUAAUAGAAUAGGACGUGUGGUUCUAUUUUGUUGGUUUCUAGGACCGCCGUAAUGAUUAAUAGGGACAGUCGGGGGCAUCAGUAUUCAAUUGUCAGAGGUGAAAUUCUUGGAUUUAUUGAAGACUAACUACUGCGAAAGCAUUUGCCAAGGAUGUUUUCAUUAAUCAGGAACGAAAGUUAGGGGAUCGAAGACGAUCAGAUACCGUCGUAGUCUUAACCAUAAACUAUGCCGACUAGGGAUCGGACGGUGUUAUUUUUUGACCCGUUCGGCACCUUACGAGAAAUCAAAGUGCUUGGGCUCCAGGGGGAGUAUGGUCGCAAGGCUGAAACUUAAAGAAAUUGACGGAAGGGCACCACCAGGGGUGGAGCCUGCGGCUUAAUUUGACUCAACACGGGGAAACUCACCAGGUCCAGACACAAUGAGGAUUGACAGAUUGAGAGCUCUUUCUUGAUUUUGUGGGUGGUGGUGCAUGGCCGUUCUUAGUUGGUGGAGUGAUUUGUCUGCUUAAUUGCGAUAACGAACGAGACCUUAACCUGCUAAAUAGCCCGUAUUGCUUUGGCAGUACGCUGGCUUCUUAGAGGGACUAUCGG
rnacentral:rRNA from 1 species